GCUCCUGUAGCUCGAAGGUCGAGCACUUCCUUGGUAAGGAAGAGGCCCUGGUUCGAUUCCAGGCCGGAGCA
rnacentral:tRNA from 1 species